rnacentral:rRNA from 1 species
AAGAAAGUAAGCAAGGGCGCAUGGCGGAUGCCUUGGCUCUCGGAGGCGAUGAAGGACGUGAUAAGCUGCGAUAAGCUCUGGGUAGGUGCAAAUAACCUUUGAUCCAGAGAUUUCCGAAUGGGACAACCCGGCAUUCUGAAGGAAUGUCAUCCAUCUUUGAUGGAGGCUAACGCAGGGAACUGAAACAUCUUAGUACCUGUAGGAAAAGAAAAUAAUAAUGAUUCCCCUAGUAGUGGCGAGCGAACGGGGAACAGCCCAAACCACCCAUGUUACGGCAUGUGUGGGGUUGUAGGACCACGAUAUCGCAAGACAUCUGAUGAAUAGAAUCCUCUGGAAAGUGGAACCAUAGACGGUGAUAGUCCUGUAUAUGAAGUCAGAUUAAGCGU